CAGAUUCAUGUUCCCAAAUUUCAGGAAUGGAUAUCAAGGCCUAUAUUCUAUCCUGUGGGUUAUCCUUAGGGGUUACACUCUUGUUAUGUUUGUUGUGUAAUAUUUCACCUCUGCUUUCCCGCAGAGCAGUCAAAAAAGUCUUGUGGACCCUUGGGUGGUCCAAGUAACUGGUCUGUUUGUUCCAAUAGUUGAUAUGACAAUUAAGAAUUAUGAUUAUCCUGUGCU
rnacentral:lncRNA from 1 species